UCGCUAAAACAGCAGACAACACCAGGACC
rnacentral:piRNA from 1 species